rnacentral:rRNA from 1 species
CCCUUUAGUAGAGAACAACUUGAGGAAACUUGAGCUAAUACUUUAUACGCCCUUCGGGGGAAAGCUUUAUGCGCUAUUGGAUGGGCCCGCGUUAGAUUAGUUUGUUGGUGAGGUAACGGCUCACCAAGACUUCGAUCUAUAGCUGGUCUGAGAGGAUGAUCAGCCACACUGGGACUGAGACACGGCCCAGACUCCUACGGGAGGCAGCAGUGGGGAAUAUUGGACAAUGGGGGCAACCCUGAUCCAGCGAUGCCGCGUGAGUGAUGAAGGCCUUAGGGUUGUAAAGCUCUUUCGUCAGGGAAGAUAAUGACGGUACCUGAAGAAGAAGAUCCGGCUAACUCCGUGCCAGCAGCCGCGGUAAUACGGAGGGAUCUAGCGUUAUUCGGAAUUACUGGGCGUAAAGCGAGCGUAGGCGGAUUUGUAAGUUGGAGGUGAAAUCCCAGAGCUUAACUCUGGAACUGCCUUCAAAACUACAUUUCUUGAGUUUGGUAGAGGAGAGUGGAAUU